rnacentral:tRNA from 1 species
GCGGGUAUCGUAUAACGGUAGUACGCCACCCUUCCAAGGUGGAGACACGGGUUCAAUUCCCGUUACCCGCU